GCUUACGGCCAUACCACCCUGAAUGCUCCCGAUCUCGUCUGAUCUCGGAAGCAAAGCAGGGUCAGGCCUGGUUAGUUCUUGGAUGGGAGACCGCCUGGAAAUACCAGGUGCUGUAAGCU
rnacentral:rRNA from 1 species